GACGUAGGGGGCAAGCGUUGUCCGGAAUUAUUGGGCGUAAAGCGCUCGUAGGUGGAUUAGUAAGUCUGCAAAGAAAAUACCCCGGGGCUCAACUCGGGGAACGGUGUGGAUACUACUAAUCUUGAGGCAAUCAGAGGAUGGUGGAAUUCCCGGUGUAGCGGUGAAAUGCGUAGAGAUCGGGAGGAACAUCAGUGGCGAAGGCGGCCAUCUGGGGACAACACUGACGCUGAGGCACGAAAGCGUGGGGAGCAAACAGG
rnacentral:rRNA from 1 species